rnacentral:rRNA from 1 species
GGGGGAUAUUGCACAAUGGAGGAAACCCUGAUGCAGCAACGCCGCGUGAAGGAUGAAGGUUUUCGGAUUGUAAACUUCUUUAGUCAGGGACGAAAAAAAUGACGGUACCUGAAGAAUAAGCCACGGCUAACUACGUGCCAGCAGCCGCGGUAAUACGUAGGUGGCAAGCGUUGUCCGGAAUUACUGGGUGUAAAGGGCGUGUAGGCGGGAAUGUAAGUCAGAUGUGAAAUCCCAGGGCUUAACCCUGGAGCUGCAUCUGAAACUAUGUUUCUUGAGUGCCGGAGAGGAAAGCGGAAUUCCUAGUGUAGCGGUGAAAUGCGUAGAUAUUAGGAGGGACACCAGUGGCGAAGGCGGCUUUCUGGACGGUAACUGACGCUGAGGCGCGAAAGCAUGGGUAGCAAAC